rnacentral:rRNA from 1 species
CCCUUAGAUGUUCUGGGCCGCACGCGUGCUACACUGACGCCUACAGCGAGUACUUCCCAGCCCCGAGAGGUGGCUGGUAAUCAGCAAUAGGCGUCGUGAUGGGGAUAGAUCUUUGGAAUUAUGGAUCUUGAACGAGGAAUGCCUAGUAAGCGCAGGUCAUUAGCCUGCGCUGAUUAAGUCCCUGCCCUUUGUACACACCGCCCGUCGCUCCUACCGAUUUCGAGUGGUCCGGUGAAUCUUUCGGACUGCGCGCGGCCUCGUGCCGUGUCGCGGAAAGUCAGGUAAACCUUAUCACUUAGAGGAAGGAGAAGUCGUANCA